AGAGUUUGAUCCUGGCUCAGGACGAACGCUUGCGGCGUGCCUGAGAAAUGCAAGUCGAGCGGGGUGUAGCAAUACACCUAGCGGCGAACGGUCGAGUAACACGUAAGCAACCUGCCCUGCAGUGGGGGAUAACAGCGGGAAACUGCUGCUAAUACCGCAUAGGCAUAUUUCUGGGCAUCCAGGGAUGUGUAAAGGCUAGACUGCUGCAGGAGGGGCUUGCGGCCUAUUAGCUAGUCGGUGGGGUAACGGCCUACCGAGGCGACGAUGGGUAGCUGGUCUGAGAGGAUGGUCAGCCGGAUCGGGACUGAGACACGGCCCAGACUCCUACGGGGGGCAGCAAUCAGGAAUAUUGCGCAAUGGGGGAAACCCUGACGCAGCGACGCCGCGUGCGGGAUGAAGGCCUUCGGGUCGUAAACCGCUGUUGUGGGAGACGAAUGACUGUCGAUGAGGCAGUGGAGACGGUAUCUCACGAGGAAGCCCCGGCUAACUACGUGCCAGCAGCCGCGGUAAUACGUAGGGGGCGAGCGUUGUCCGAAGUUACUGGGCGUAAAGCGCGCGUAGGCGGCUCUUUAAGUGACUGGUGAAAUCCCCGGGCUCAACCCGGGGUAGUCUGGUCAUACUGGGGAGCUAGAGUGUGGGAGGGGAGAGCGGAACUCCUGGUGUAGCGGUGAUAUGCGUAGAGAUCAGGAAGAACACCCGUGGCGAAGGCGGCUCUCUGGACCAUAACUGACGCUGAGGUGCGAAAGCCAGGGGAGCGAACGGGAUUAGAUACCCCGGUAGUCCUGGCCCUAAACG
rnacentral:rRNA from 1 species